GAUUUCUGGUUUGAUACAGUUGGCCGGCCACGGUUUCGUGUGUUAGUGCUUUCUGUUCUGACCAUCCUUUCAAUCGCUGCGCACUUUUCUUCAUUGAUUUGUGUGUGGUAUUGAAUCUUUUACUUUGAAAAAAUUAGAGUGUUUCAAGCAGGCUUUAUGCUAUGAAUACAUUAGCAUGGAAUAAUAAUUUAGGACUUCGGUUCUAUUUUGUUGGUUUCUAGGACUGAAGUAAUGAUUGAUAGGGAUAGUUGGGGGUGCUAGUAUUCAGCGGCCAGAGGUGAAAUUCUCGGAUUCGCUGAAGACUAACUUAUGCGAAAGCAUU
rnacentral:rRNA from 1 species